rnacentral:tRNA from 1 species
GCCCGGCUAGCUCAGUCGGUAGAGCGUGGGACUCUUAAUCCCAGGGUCAUGGGUUCGAGCCCCACAUUGGGCG